rnacentral:rRNA from 1 species
GAUGAACGCUGGCGGCGUGCCUAACACAUGCAAGUCGAGCGAACAGACGAGGAGCUUGUGCCUCGGACGUUAGCGGCAGACGGGAGAGAAACACGUGUAUACCGUCCCUGUAAUACUGGGAACACUUCGGGAAACGGGCGCUAAUACCGUAUAAUCUAUUGAUGCGCAGUGGUCAAUAGUGAGAGACGGUUUUGCUGUCACUUAUCGAUGCAUCCGCGCCGCAUUGGCUAGUUGUUCAGGUAACGGCUUACCAAGGGAACGAUGCGUGGACGAGCUGAGAGGGUGGUCGGCCACACUGGAGCUGAGACACGGACCAGGGUCCUACGAGAGGCAGCAGUAGGGAAUCUUCCGCAAUGGGGGAGAGCAUGGCGGAGCAGCGGCGAGUGAGUGGUGGAGGUGCUGGGAUCGUAAAGCUCGGUUAUGAGGGAAGAACAACUGUGUAAGGUGCCGUGCACGGCGUGACGGUACUUGGUCAGAAAGCAACGGCUAACUACGUG